rnacentral:rRNA from 1 species
AGGGAUCAUUGCUGGAACGCGCUUUCGGCGCACCCCAGAAACCCUUUGUGAACUUAUACCUUACUGUUGCCUCGGCGCAGGCCGGCCCCCCCGGGGCCCCUCGGAGACGAGGAGCAGCCCGCCGGCGGCCAACUAAACUCUUGUUUCUUAGUGAAUCUCUGAGUAAAAAACAAAAAUGAAUCAAAACUUUCAACAACGGAUCUCUUGGUUCUGGCAUCGAUGAAGAACGCAGCGAAAUGCGAUAAGUAAUGUGAAUUGCAGAAUUCAGUGAAUCAUCGAAUCUUUGAACGCACAUUGCGCCCCCUGGUAUUCCGGGGGGCAUGCCUGUUCGAGCGUCAUUUCAACCCUCAAGCUCUGCUUGGUGAUGGGGCACCGCCUGUAAAAGGGCGGGCCCUGAAAUCUAGUGGCGAGCUCGCCAGGACCCCGAGCGUAGUAGUUACAUCUCGCUCUGGAAGGCCCUGGCGGUGCCCUGCCGUUAAACCCCCAACUUCUGAAAUUUUGACCUCGGAUCAGGUAGGAAUACCCGCUGAACUUAA